rnacentral:rRNA from 1 species
CAAGGAUUCCCCUAGUAACGGCGAGUGAAGCGGGAAGAGCUCAAAUUUGUAAUCUGGCGGCCUCCGGUCGUCCGAGUUGUAGUCUGGAGAAGUGCUUUCCGUGCCGGACCGUGUACAAGUCCCUUGGAACGGGGUGUCGUAGAGGGUGAGAAUCCCGUCUCUGACACGGACUGCCGGUGCCCUGUGAUGCGCUCUCGAAGAGUCGAGUUGUUUGGGAAUGCAGCUCAAAACGGGUGGUAAAUUCCAUCUAAAGCUAAAUAUUGGCGAAAGACCGAUAGCGAACAAGUACCGUGAGGGAAAGAUGAAAAGCACUUUGGAAAGAGAGUUAAACAGUACGUGAAAUUGUUGAAAGGGAAACGCUUGGAGUCAGUCGCGUCCGUCGAGGCUCAGCCGGGUACCAGACCCGGUGCACUCCUCGGCGCAGACGGGCCAGCAUCGAUUUCGACUGUCGGAGAAAGGCCCUGGGAAUGUGGCACCCUUCCGGGGGUGUGUUAUAGCCCUCUGCCGUAUGCGACGGUCGGGAUCGAGGACCGCAGCGUGCCCCUCGCAGGGCCGGGGUUCGUCCCACGUAACGCGCUCAGGAUGCUGGCGUAAUGGCUCCAAGCGACCCGUCUUGAAC